GAUGAACGCUAGCGGCAGGCCUAAUACAUGCAAGUCGGACGGGAUUGAGGAGCUUGCUUCUCAUGAGAGUGGCGCACGGGUGCGUAACACGUAUGUAACCUACCUUAGUCAGGGGGAUAGCCUCUCGAAAGAGAGAUUAACACCGCAUAACAUUAUGAUAUGGCAUCAUAUUAUAAUCAAAUAUUUAUAGGACUAAGAUGGGCAUGCGGAACAUUAGCUAGUUGGUAAGGUAACGGCUUACCAAGGCUACGAUGUUUAGGGGAUCUGAGAGGAUGACCCCCCACACGGGUACUGAGAAACGGACCAGACUCCUACGGGAGGCAGCAGUAAGGAAUAUUGGUCAAUGGACGCAAGUCUGAACCAGCCAUGCCGCGUGCAGGAAGACGGCCCUACGGGUUGUAAACUGCUUUUGUACCGGAAUAAACCUUUGUAUGUAUACGAAGCUGAAUGUACGGUAAGAAUAAGGAUCGGCUAACUCCGUGCCAGCCGCCGCCGUAA
rnacentral:rRNA from 1 species